GAUGAAGAACGCAGCGAAAUGCGAAAAGUAGUGUGAAUUGCAGAAUUCAGUGAAUCAUCGAAUCUUUGAACGCACAUUGCGCCCCUUGGUAUUCCAUGGGGCAUGCCUGUUCGAGCGUCAUUUGUACCUUCAAGCUCUGCUUGGUGUUGGGUGUUUGUCUCGCCUCUGCGUGUAGACUCGCCUCAAAACAAUUGGCAGCCGGCGUAUUGAUUUCGGAGCGCAGUACAUCUCGCGCUUUGCACUCAUAACGACGACGUCCAAAAGUACAUUUUUACACUCUUGACCUCGGAUCAGGUAGGGAUACCCGCUGAACUUAAGCAUAUCAAUAAGCGGAGGA
rnacentral:misc_RNA from 1 species